rnacentral:lncRNA from 1 species
CUCGAUCUCCUGACCUCGUGAUCCGCCCGCCUCGGCCUCCCAAAGUGCUGGGAUUAUUUUUGUAUUUUUAGUAGAGACAGGGUUUCACCAUGUUGGUCCGGCUGGUCUCGAACUCCUGACCUCAGGUGAUCCACCCGCCUCGGCCUCCCAAAGUGCUGGGGUUACAGGUGUGAGCCACCACACCUGGUCUCAAACUUUUUAAAAAGUGUAUUUGUACCUGUGAUGUAUAUAAAUAGCAAAAAUUGUACCCAUACCAAAAUAUUAAUAGUGAUAUGAUUGUUUUUCAUUUUCUUUUUUAUAUUUUAUGUAUCCCAAUUAUUAAAACAAUAAACAUGUAUUUACAUUUAUAAUCAAGAAAAAGGGGGCCGGACGCGGUGGCUCAUGCCUGUAAUCCCAGCAUUUUGGGAGGCCGAGGUGGAUGGAUCACCCGAGGUCAGGAGUUCAAGACCAGCCUGGCCAAGAUGGUGAAACCCCGUCUCUACAAAAAUACAAAAAUUAGCCGAGCAUGAUGGUGAGUGUCUGUAAUCCCAGCUAGUUGGGAGGCUGAAGCAGGAGAAUUGCUUGAACCCGGGAGGCGGAGGUUGCAGUGAGCCAAGAUUGUGCCACUGCACUCUAACCUGGGCAACAGCGAGACUCUGUCUCAAAAAAAAAAAAAAAAGAAAAAAGGACCACAACCCUAAUAUGUAGUAAGGCUGUCAGAUCAUAUUUAAAUAUAUAAACAAAAUUUAAAUAUGAAAUUUAAAUUAAAUAGAUGUUAUUCUAGUACAUCACAGAAACCCAAAAGAAACUUUAGAUUUGACACGGCAUAAUCCUAGGCCAAUAUUCAGGAUUCUCCCACUGUGGGAUAAUGAAGAAGGGGACACAACUGCAGGAGAGAUUUUAAAAAUUUUGAGAGAAUACUAGGAGCAACCUCAUGCUGAAACAUACAAAAAUUCAGAUAAAACAAUAAUUUUUAAAAACCAGGAAAACUGCCAAAAUUGACUUAAGGAAUUUUUAAAGGCCUACAUGAAGAAAUUAGUAACAACAAUUGCUUAUUCUGCCACCCCCACAUACCUUAAAAGAUACUAGACCUAGAUGGUUUCUCAGGCAAGUAGUAUCAAACCUACAAAGAAACAGAUAAUCUCUGAUCUAUACAAACCUUUUAAGGACUGAAAAAAAAAAAGGGGCUAGUGCGGGGGCCAGGUACAAUGGCUCACACCUAUAAUCCCAGCACUUUGGGUGGCUGAGGUAGGAUAGCUUGAGGCCAAGAGUUCAAGACCAGACUAGGCAACAUAGCAAAACCCUGUCUCUACAAAAAAUUUAAAAAUUAGCAGGUUCUGGUGGUGUGCACCUGUAGUCCCUGCUACUUGGGAGGCUAAGGCAGGAGGAUAGCUUGAGCCCAGGAGUUCCAGGCUGCAGUGAGCUAUGAUCACAGCACUGUACUCCAGCAUGAGUGACAGAGUGAGAUCAUGUCUCUGAAAAAGAAAAGAAAAAGAAAAAAGGUAAGAGGUGCAGGAAGCUACCCAUUUAAUUUUAUGAGGCUAUGAUAUUAUCCUGAAACACUGGAAAAGGACAAUACAAUAAAAUUUUAGAUCAAUCUUUCUUAUGAAUGUACAUGCAAAAAAAUCCUAAAUAAAAGUACUAGGCAAACAUACUGGCAAACUGAAUCCAGCAGUAUACUGAACAAAACACACAGACACAGACACACUGCCUCUACUAUGACCAAGAAGGGCUUAUCCUGGGAAUAUAAGGCUUAACAUCAGAAUAUUAAUGAAACAUAUCAUAUUAAAGAAGAAAAAUCAGAUGCGGAGAAAGCAUUCAAUAAAAUUUAACACUACCUUAUGACUGAAACUAACAAAAACAACCUAGCAAAUCAGGAAUAAAAGUGAAUAUCACUAACUUGAUAUAAUGUAACUAUCACAACCUUACAGUAAACAUCAUGCUUAAUGAUCAGGUUAUAAAAAGCCUUCCCAUUAUAAUCAGGAGCAAGAGACGAAUGCCCUCUACUACCUUUAGUCAGCACUAUGUGGGGAUCUUACCCAACAAUACAAGGCAAGAAAAAUAAAAUGGAAACUAACUUAGACAAACUUAAAACUAUUAAAGAGUUCAACAAGGUGGCUGGACACAAGAUUUAUAAAUAUUAUUAGCAUUUCUAUACACUAGUAACAAACAGUUACAAAACUGAAAAUAAGAAAAGAUUCCAGUCACAAGAGACAUGAAAACUGUAAAUUAGACAUAACUCUAACCGAAAAAAAAAAAAUGCUAGUCCUUUAUGGAAAAAAUUAUAAAAAAAACACUGAAAGACAUUAAAGAAAAGAAAAAUUAUGUUCAUAAAUGGAAGCCUAAAUAUUGAAAAGAAGUCAGUUCUCUUUGUACUCCUGGGAAGACAGGAAGAAAAAAAAAAAAGUUGGUUCUCUCCUAUUAAUCUAAAAUGUAGUGCAAUUCCAAUAAAAAUCCCAUUAGAACUUGACAGGCUGAUCCUACAAUUCACAGGAAAAAGCAAAAGGCAAAGAAUAGCCAAGGCAAUUUUGAAGAAAAACAACAAGGCAGACAGGACUUGCCUACCUGUUUUCAGACUUGCUUAAAAGAGUGCAGAUAGGCAAACAGACCAAAGGAACAAAAUAAGAGAGUCCAGAAACAGGGCCCCUUCAUGUAUGGAAACUUGAGGGUGUGGUACACAUGAGAUACACAUCAGCAGGAAAGGUUGUAGACUUCAGUAAAUGGUGCUGGUCAAUUGGUUAUCCAUAUGGAAAAAAGAUAACAUUAUAUCCAAGCCUCACCAUACACAGAAACCAAAUCCAAGAGAAUUAAAAAUCUAGAUUAAAAAAGCAAGCUUUAGACUAUUUAGAAGAAGUUACACUUAAUGACUUGCUGCAUUGCCUUGUUCAUUCCCUUCAUAGCACGCAUCACAAUUUGUGAUGUAUUUGUUUAAUGUGUGCCUCCUUUUGUCUGCUUCCCUCAAAAAAUGGUAGAGAUUCCUUAAGUUAAUCCUCACCUACCCUCCCCCAAAAACAAACCCCUGAAUGACAGAAAAGACAAAUAGAUUUGACCACUUCAAAAUUAAAAUAUUAAAAUAUUUUUGUGGGGAAGGGGUGCUGGGGGCAGGGUCUCACUCUAUCUCCCAGACUGGAGCAAACAGAGCUCACUGCAGCCUUGACUACCUGGGCUCAAGCGAUUCUCCCACCUCAGCCUCCCAAAGUGCUAGGUUUACAGGUGCGAACCACCAUAUCUGGCCUAAAAUCUUCUAUUUAACAAAAAAACACCAAAAACAAAAUGCUAUGGUUUGGAUGUGGUUUAUUUGUCCCCACAAAAAUUAAUGUUGAAAUCUGAUCCCCAAGAUGGCUAUGUUGAGAGGUGGGGUUUGUGGAAUGUGUUUGGGUUUGAGGGGUGGAUCCCUCAGGAGUGCCUUGGUGCUGUUCUUGCAGUAGUGCGUGAGCUCUCACUCUUGCUCUGGGGAGUCUGGAUUAGUCCUUGAGGGAAUGGAUUAGUUCCUGCAAGGGUAGGCUGUUAUAAAGCCAGGAUGCUCUCAGGCUCUCCUCUGUUUGCAUGGGUUGGCUUCCCCUUUGAUUUCCACAUGUUAUAAUGCAGCACAACCCUUGCCAGAAGCCAGAGCCAUGCCCUUGAAUUUCUCAGUCUAUAGAACCAUGAGCUAAAUAAACCUCUUGUCUUUAUACAUUACCUAGUCUCAGGUAUUCUCUUAUAGCAAUGCAAAUCAGAGUCACAAAAUGAAAAGACAAGUCACAAGCUGGAAGAUAUUCACUACACACAUGUAACUGAUAGAAGAUUAGUAUUAAAAAUAUACAGAGAACUACAAAUACUUAAGGGAAAACAACUGAAGUUACCCAUCAGUAAGAAAAUGAGCACAGAAUAUGAACUGGCAGACAAUUCGCAGAAGACAACACAAAUGGCCAACAAACAUUUGAAAAUAUUCUCAACCUCACCAGUAAUCAGGAAAACACAAAAUCAAACAAAUACCACUUCACACCCAUCAAAUUGGCAAAAAGGAAAAGGUCUGACUAUGGAUCGAUUCAUCUUACACAACCACACUGGGGAGCAGUUACAGAGGUAUCUAUCAAAGAUGACAAUAUGUGUCCCCUUCAACCCAGCAGGUCCCCUCCUGGAGACAUUCUAACAUGUGAACCCAAUGAGACAGAUACCACAACGUUCACUGCAACACUGUAAUAGCAAAAAAUUGAUAACUAGCAGGAGAACAGAGAAACACACUGGGG